rnacentral:snoRNA from 1 species
CCCCUCUCAGGGUCGCACCUGGAGGGUUUCCCGUCCUCUACCAGUCUCGGCUACGGGAGGGAGAGACGGGCAGAGGCCUGUCCAUUCCAUUCCUGGCUUGGGCAGUGGCUAGCGAGUGGAAGGCAAUCUGCUACAAGU